rnacentral:lncRNA from 1 species
AGUGCCAAGGCCGGUGUGAGUGCCAAGCACUAGGAGAAGGACCCUGAGUGAGCAUGGACGUGGGAGCAGGGGUGUUCCUCGACUUUAUACACCUUGGGGGUGGGAGUGGGGCUCCCUGCAUGGGUUGACAAGGCAUUGCUUUUCCCCACCCCACCUCUGUCCCAGCCCUGCAAGUCCAAUCCUUGGGGGUCUAGGAGGGAAGAAGCCCCUGGCUGUGUGACCUUAGGCUGGUGCCUGGCCCUCUCUGGCUCUGAGUUUCUGGGAAAGUCAGCACCCAAGGAACGCCCUCCAGUUUAGCACCUUGACAAGAAAGCUUGGCUCAAAGGCUCAAGGCAUCAAAGGCUCAGCCUGCCCCUCAGGAAGCAGCCCGGGCCCAGCGAGACACUCACCAGGACAAGGGCAACUGUGAUGAGCAGGAGGCCCAGGAUAAGGAGAGCCACGGCAUAGCUGGAGCCUCGUGCCCUCAACCCCAGAACCCUGGUCUGAGUCCUGGGUCACCCAGGACCACCCUGGACCCACUGGAAUUCGUCCAGCACCACUUGGUCAAAGUUCUGCAGAGAUCUGAGGACAAGGGUCAGCUGGGGGUCAGGAGAGGAUGAAGAGGGUCACAGCUCUACCAGACGAAGCCUCAUUCCUUGUGGCGCCCGGCCCACCCCUCUGAUGUGGGCCCUAAACCUCCGGCUGGCCCAGCCCUGCAGAGAACUGAGUCCCAGAGGAGGUGCAGGUGGAGUCAUUGAAGCAACACUGCAGCUGGACCUGGGUCUGAGUCCCUGCUCCUGGCUGUGAGAUGCGCCUCUCCCUCUGUUUAUUCAUCUGAAGGAUAGGGCUGUGCUGUUCUGGGUUUGCUGUGACAAUUGAACUGGCCUCUGUGAGUUGGUGGUGGCCUCCUGAGAUGGCUUGAGGUGAGCUGGAGGUGUGUAUUGAAUGCCCCCUCGCACCCACGGGGAAGACCCACUUAAGGAA